GAUAUCUGAUUAGCUAGUUGGUGGGGUAAAGGCCUACCAAGACAAUGAUGCAUAGCCGAGUUGAGAGACUGAUCGGCCACAUUGGGACUGAGACACGGCCCAAACUCCUACGGGAGGCUGCAGUAGGGAAUCUUCCACAAUGGGCGAAAGCCUGAUGGAGCAACGCCGCGUGUGUGAUGAAGGCUUUAGGGUCGUAAAGCACUGUUGUAUGGGAAGAAAUGCUAGAAUAGGGAAUGAUUCUAGUUCGACGGUACCAUACCAGAAAGGGACGGCUAAAUACGUGCCAGCAGCCGCGGUAAUACG
rnacentral:rRNA from 1 species